AUGGAUUAUAGUACAUGUUGCAAGCUUUUCAAAUUGUCCAAGAACUCCUCAAACACAUUUGUGGUUAGAGAGAAUCGAAUGCUUGAAGUUGGCAAAAACUCAUUUUGUAACCAUGGCCAAUACAUGUUCAUACCAAGUUGCAAAUCUGACCAAACUAGCUUAGUACAUAAUUACAUGCCUCUAAACCAAUUUACACUAAAAAAUUGA